rnacentral:rRNA from 1 species
AUUGAACGCUGGCGGCAGGCCUAACACAUGCAAGUCGAGCGAGCGGCGGACGGGUGAGUAAUGUAUGGGGAUCUGCCCGAUAGAGGGGGAUAACUACUGGAAACGGUGGCUAAUACCGCAUACUAUCGGAUGAACCCUUCUGGGAUUAGCUCGUAGGUGGGGUAAAGGCUCACCUAGGCGACGAUCUCUAGCAGGUCUGAGCGGGUGAUCAGCCACACUGGGACUGAGAAACGGCCCAGACUCCUACGGGAGGCAGCAGUGGGGAAUAUAGCCAGAUGGGCGGAAGCCUGAUGCAGCCAUGCCGCGUGUAUGAAGAAGGCCUUAGGGUUGUAAAGUACUGUCAGCGGGGAGGCGUUACCCGCAGAAGAAGCACCGGGUAACUCCGUGCCAGCAGCCGGGGUAAUUC